GUCUCGAGCCUGGCGCGAACGGUAAAUAAAUCGCCGCUUAUGAAGCCGGCCAGUUGGACAGCAUUAUGCAACAUUUUUACUAACCACCGAUUUUCUGUGCCUAUCAAAAAAGAAACUAAUUAUUGCAUCGGUCAGGUUAGGCGGGUUCAAAUUCCGGUAAUCCAUAGCCAUGGUCACAAAAUACGAAAUCACUAAACAGCACAGGAGGAGUAUAAAGUCGCCAACGAAUAAAUCGUGACUAAAUAAUAUUUUCCAUGUUACUCCAAAAUACAUCUCUAAUAGGGGGGAUGGGAUGAAUCACAUCUUGAACUCUUGUGACAAAUACCACAUGAAAGAUAAUACCGCCGCCGCCGUUCGGAUGCAUUCCUUGUUUAUUGUCCAAGUGUGUCCGAUAAGCUUACACCUGGUCGGUCAUUAUCUUUGUUUUGGUAAACGCCAUUAUAUUAGUAACAAUAGAGAACUUAAAAUGUAUUAUAGUACUUACUUUCUAAUCUGCCGUAGAAACCACGAUGUUUGAAAAAACUUGUAAAUAUUUGUCACAAACUAUUUGUUAUACAAUACAUAUUAGUUAGUGGUGACUGUUUCAACCGCCUUGUUCUAUAUUGAAACGAAAAAAAAUUAACUUUAACAUCAUUGUUAGUAGGUAAUUGCUUAAGAUACAAUACAACGAUCACCAAAUAUUAUGACAUAAAAGUACAGUGGGAAAAAAUCCUCGUUGCCUUAC